UCAUGAACAAGCUAGCGUGACGCGUGAUCAGCCCGAGCCCCACAGUGGGCACGCUCUGGCUUCUAUCGGUCAUGGCGACUCCGACAGCAUCUCUCACCUUCUCCUCUCCUCUUACCCAGGAUGGCAUCCUUCUGCUCUCCCUCUCUCUGCACGCUUCCGUUAUCAUCCUUCCUCCAAAAACAAGCUUCUUACCCGCGAUUCCUUUCUCUCAGAAACACCCACCUCUCUUCCUCUUAUUUUUCAUGCGAACCAAGAAAAGCGGUGCUUAAGAAGAUUCUGUGUAGUGCAAUAUCGGGCAUAGAUCGUGGUGUCUCUGCUGACAGAAAUGAAGGAGAAGGCGAAGAAGAUGUCGUCAUUGGUGCAAAGGAGAUGACCUCUGAGGGUGCGGAAGAAAGAGUGAAGUAUAACUGGGAGGAGGAAUGGUAUCCUCUUUACCUCACUGAUCAGGUGCCUGAUGAUGCCCCGGUGGGGUUAACUGUGUUUGAUAAGCAGCUUGUUUUGUAUCGGGACGGCAAGGGCGUGCUUCGUUGCUAUGAAGAUCGUUGCCCACAUAGAUUAGCUAAGCUCUCUGAAGGGCAAUUAGUUGAUGGGAGGCUGGAAUGCUUAUACCAUGGCUGGCAGUUUGAAGAUGAUGGUAGAUGCGUGAAGAUACCUCAGCUUCCAGAAAGUGCAAAAAUUCCUCGUGCUGCCUGUGUCAAAACCUAUGAACUGAGAGACUCUCAGGGGGUUAUUUGGGUUUGGAUGUCAGACCAAGUAAAGCCAGAUGAUAGCAAACUACCCUGGUUUGAGAACUUUGCACUGCCCGGUUUUCGGGACAUCUCUUCCAUUCAUGAGCUCCCAUACGAUCACUCUAUACUCCUUGAAAAUCUCAUGGAUCCUGCCCAUGUCCCAAUUUCGCAUGACCGUGUAGAUUGGUCUGCCAAAAGAGAGGAUGCUCAACCACUACGUUUCAGAGUAACAGAGCGAACUGAUAGGGGUUUUGCAGGUGAAUGGAUCAAAGAGAAAGAAACAAACUACCCAAAUAUUCUAAGAUUUGAUGCUCCAUGUGUCCUACAGAAUAACAGACUGUUUGUUGAUAAAAACGGGAAGGAAUAUCGUUUCUCAGGACUCUUUCUUUGUCGUCCUGCUGGACAGGGGAAAUCCGUUCUUAUAUUGAGAUUUGGGUCUAGUUCACAAUCACCGCUAGUGAAGUUGCUUCCAAAAUGGUACCUCCAUCAAAACCAGUGCAAAGUUUUCGAGCAAGAUAUGGGCUUCCUUUCGUCACAGAAUGAGGUUCUUAUCAAGGAGAGAGUUCCCACGAGCAAAUUGUACCUCAACCUAAAAUCUUCUGAUACUUGGGUUUCUGAAUAUAGAAAGUGGAUGGAUAAAGUAGGACAUGGAAUGCCAUAUUAUUUUGGCCAUAGCACCAUCUCACCACCUAAAACCCCUGCCGUCUUUGAGCAUGCACCAGCGGGUUUGGUGGCAGGACUAUCUGCUUCUUUUCCAGCAAAAGGUGGAGAAGGAACUAAACAUUCUCCAAAUCCAGCAAACAGAUACUUCAGACAUGUGGUUCACUGUAAAGGAUGCCAAAGUGCAGUAAAAGCAUUCGAGUUCUGGAGACAGAUGCUCGUAGUUCUGGCUGUUGUUUCAGCUGGUAUUGCGGUUUUGGCAUCUGGAAGACAGUGGAAAACCCUCCUUCUACUUGGAACAACUGUAUGUCUGGCUGCAGCCUAUGGAUGUUCUAAUGCACUUGGUUUGAUCACAACUAACUUUGUCAGGAAUCACAGACGAAUUUAGGCUCAAAGAACUGCACUCAAACUAGUCUACAGUGGGUAGCUUGCUUGCAUGCGGGCAGACUGAAGCAACUACUCCAUUGCAAGGAUCAUGGGUGUUGGGUUGGUGUAGAAUUCGAGGACAGGAGUGGCUUAACCAAUUGCAGACAAAAAAUUGGGAACUAGAAUCAGCGAGUGUGAUCAAAAUAUCAUUGUACAGGA